rnacentral:misc_RNA from 1 species
UUUUGAAUAUCAUAUCAAAAAUUGACCGCUCCAGCGGGGUUCGAACCCGCGCCUCCGACAUACCGUGUCGGCGCUCUAGCCAAUUAAGCUAUGGAACGAUGCACCCGCUCGAGCGAAAUUUUCGAUAUGAUAAUUUUUAAUUUCGGUUUAAGCGAACCGUGGCGCCGUCUAUAGUGAGCUCUUUACAGAAGCCCGUAACUAUUCAAAGUUUCAUAUUACAAUGAAAAUCUUUGACAGGAGACGACACCGUGCUAUUUUUAAUAUCUAAGAUUUUUUUUUUUUUUUUUUUUUUUUUUUUUUUUUUUUUUUUUUUUUUUUUUUUUUUUUUUUUUUUUUUUUUUCCAUCUUAAAUUUUUUUUAUUGAUACAGAAUUAAAAAAAUAGACAAAACACACUUCUACAACAAUGAAAUUAAAUAAGUAAUAUAAAAAUUAAAUUA